UGGGGAAUAUUGGACAAUGGGCGCAAGCCUGAUCCAGCCAUGCCGCGUGAGUGAUGAAGGCCCUAGGGUUGCAAAGCUCUUUCACCGGUGAAGAUAAUGACGGUAACCGGAGAAGAAGCCCCGGCUAACUUCGUGCCAGCAGCCGUGGUAAUACGAAGGGGGCUAGCGUUGUUCGGAUUUACUGGGCGUAAAGCGCACGUAGGCGGACUUUUAAGUCAGGGGUGAAAUCCCGGGGCUCAACCCCGGAACUGCCUUUGAUACUGGAAGUCUUGAGUAUGGUAGAGGUGGGUGGAAUUCCGAGUGUAGAGGUGAAAUUCGUAGAUAUUCGGAGGAACACCAGUGGCGAAGGCGGCUCACUGGACCAUUACUGACGCUGAGGUGCGAAAGCGUGGAGAGCAAACAGG
rnacentral:rRNA from 1 species